GAGAAAGACAAGGUUUGAAAUAAUAAAGGGAGCAAACCUGCUAUUUCCGUGCCUGUCCCCCAUUACCUGUCAUCAAGCAGGUUGUUUAAGUGUAUGUGUCAGCAUGUGCAUGCGUGUGUCGCUGCAGCGGCGUAUGUGAACAGCCUGACUCUGAUUAUGUGCUGCAGACACUUGGAGAAUUGGAUGCUAUUGCCACCAAAGACAUUGAAGAGAAGCAACACAGGUAAGUACGCUCAUCUCUCUAUACUCAUUUUCUUUAUUUAAAUUUUUUUUUUAAGUUGUGUAGAUGAGCGCUUGCUUUUUCCGAAGCUUGCAUCCUUCUGGGCUUUUCCUAUUCAUGCCUGCACUGGGCAGCACUAACAAAGCCGGCUCAAAGCAGCUGCUGCUGGUGUAAGCAAAUGCAGUUCCGUUUGAAUUAAAGGGGAUCCCAGUGCUGAGUAAGCUUUGCUGUUUUAAAAUGUUAAACAAAAACGGUGUUUGUGUAGCUCUUUGUGACGCUACUGUAUUGCAGUCAUGAGUCACAAACCCUUGCCUCCACUGUUUAUCGCUGCCGGAGUUUGUUGUCAUUUUAAAAUGCAUCAGAUAAAAACUUCUGAUUAAGACGUUGAGAAUACUUUCAGUUUGAUUUGUUUUUGUCGUUUUGUGAUGCAGAGAAGCAUCUUUUAUAUUGCUUAACUGGCAUGCUUUUAACUCCAAGUUAAUCAUAGACAGCUUUUGAGUUUUUCUUAUCAGGGAAAUGAACAUUGCCCCUGUGUGGUCAUAAUCACGUCCACACCUAACAGUGCCAGGGACUAGAUCAUAACACAUUUGCUUUCACAGUUUGAUCGCAUAUUGUAUUGUAUUUCUAGCAUCUAAACCAUUUUUUUCUUCUUAUUCUUGUUUCUUGAAAUGACAUGCUCACAUAUGAUCACAGUGCUUUUCCUCUGUUGAGACAUAAUGCGAAAAGCCAAGUUUCGUUGAGAUCAUAUUAGUGACUCAGAUCUAGGGUUGCACUAUUUGGGGAAAAAAUCUAAUUGUGAUUUUUCUGAUAAAGACUGUGUUGAAGUUACAGGUUUGCAUUAUAUGACUAUAAUAAGUACCAGUAAAUAGAGCAAUAUACAAAAUAGGAAAUUACUAUUGUAAUAUUUCACUGUAAAAUAAGAAAUCAAAUAUUUUAGAAUUAUACUUUACAGGAAAAACUGUAAAAUUACAUUUCUAAUAUUUAUGGCUGUCUUAAUUCAGUUCUAGGUGGUUAACCAUCAAGCUUUUUUUUUUUUGGCGGAAAACUGCAAGGAGCUCCUAAAUCUUCUCUUUUGUUGACACCAGCCGGUUUAUGAGAGUUUGUCAUUUCAAGUUUGGAAAGAUGGUUUGCAUGUUGCGUUCACAAAUGCAUGUUAGAAACAACCCAAAAGAGCACAUUGCAGAGAUGAGCGGAGCAGCAAUUACUGUGAAUCAAGCUGCUCUGAAACACUGAAACCACUGGAUCAUGAGCUGCUUGUGUGUAAAUGAACACAGUGCCUCGCUUCACUCUGAAACCGUUCAGUUGCAGCCUUCGCGAUUUGACAAUCGCACUAAGCCAUAUAUGUUUUUGGUUUAACUUCGAUUAAUCGUGCAGCCCUACUCAGAGCAGUUAUUAAGUAUUAUUAAUUUUUUUAUUCAUUUAUUUGUUUAAAAUCUUGCAGUGACAUUAUAUGUGCUGGUAUGAUUUUGACUGGUCAUCUUUCAGCUGUGCUUAUUAUGUUGGCGUUUCGUAAACAGAUGCCCCUGUCUUUGUGUUUGUGUAUGGGAGGCUUCUGUUGUUGAGAUGGCCAUCUGGUUAAACACUUUUGGAUGCUAUUGCCACCAAAGACAUAAGUACGCUCAUCUCUCUAUAUCAUUUUCUUUAUUUAAUUUUUUUUUUAAGUUGUGUAGAUGAGCGCUUGCUUUUUCCGAAGCUUGCAUCCUUCUGGGCUUUUCCUAUUCAUGCCUGCACUGGGCAGCACUAACAAAGCCGGCUCAAAGCAGCUGCUGCUGGUGUAAGCAAAUGCAGUUCCGUUUGAAUUAAAGGGGAUCCCAG
ensembl:lncRNA